rnacentral:rRNA from 1 species
AACGAACGCUGGCGGCAUGCCUAACACAUGCAAGUCGAACGUGAUCAGGAGCUUGCUCCGGUGAAAGUGGCGCACGGGUGAGUAACGCGUGGGAACCUGCCCAAAGGUAAGGAAUAACCGCGGGAAACUGCGGCUAAUAACUUAUGUUCGCUUCGGGGGAAAUAUUUAUCGCCUUUGGAUGGGCCCGCGUCGGAUUAGCUAGUUCGUGAGGUAACGGCUCACCAAGGCGACGAUCCGUGGCUGGUCUGAGAGGAUGAUCAGCCACACUGGGACUGAGACACGGCCCAAACUCCUACGGGAGGCAGCAGUGGGGAAUAUUGGACAAUGGGCGCAAGCCUGAUCCAGCAAUGCCGCGUGAGUGAUGAAGGCCUUAGGGUUGUAAAGCUCUUUCGGCGGGGAAGAUGAUGACGGUACCCGCAGAAGUAGCCCCGGCUAACUUCGUGCCAGCCGCCGCAGUAAGAC